rnacentral:tRNA from 4 species
GCCGGUGUAGCUCAGUGGCAGAGCGACUGUUUCGUAAACAGUAGGUCGCGAGUUCGAUCCUCGCCUCCGGCU